rnacentral:rRNA from 1 species
UACGUAGGGGGCAAGCGUUGUCCGGAAUCAUUGGGCGGAAAGAGCGGGUAGGCGGCCCGGUAAGUCCGCUGUGAAAGUCGAGGGCUCAACCCUCGAAUGCCGGCGGAUACUGUCGGGCUAGAGUCCGGAAGAGGCGAGUGGAAUUCCUGGUGUAGCGGUGAAAUGCGCAGAUAUCAGGAGGAACACCUACGGCGAAGGCAGCUCGCUGGGACGGUACUGACGCUGAGACGCGAAAGCGUGGGGAGCAAACAGG